rnacentral:rRNA from 1 species
AUCAGGUAGGACUACCCGCUGAACUUAAGCAUAUCAAUAAGCGGAGGAAAAGAAACAACAGGGAUUGCCCUAGUAACGGCGAGUGAAGCGGCAACAGCUCGAAUUUGAAAUCUGGCCUCGGCCCGAGUUGUAAUCUGUAGAGGACGCUUUUGGCGCGGUGCCUUCCGAGUUCCCUGGAACGGGACGCCACAGAGGGUGAGAGCCCCGUAAGGUCGGACACCAAGCCUGUGUAAAGCCCCUUCGACGAGUCGAGUAGCUUGGGAAUGCUGCUCUAAGCGGGAGGUAUACUUCUUCUAAAGCUAAAUAUUGGCCAGAGACCGAUAGCGCACAAGUAGAGUGAUCGAAAGAUGAAAAGCACUUUGAAAAGAGGGUCAAAUAGUACGUGAAAUUGUUGAAAGGGAAGCGCUUGUGAUCAGACUCGCGCCGGGCGGAUCAUCCAGUGGUCUCCACUGGUGCACUCCGGCCGGCGCGGGCCAGCGUCGGCUGUUGCGGGGGGACAAAAGCUCUGGGAACGUAGCUCUCUCCGGGGAGUGUUAUAGCCCUCUGCAGAAUACCCCCGCGGCGGCCGAGGUCCGCGCAUUGCAAGGACGCUGGCGUAAUGGUCAUCAGCGACCCGUCUUGAAACACGGACCAAGGAGUCGAGGUUUUGCGCGAGUGUUCGGGUGCAAAGCCCCAACGCGUAAUUAACGUGAACGUAGGUGAGAGCUUCGGCGCAUCAUCGACCGAUCCUGAUGUAUUCGGAUGGAUUUGAGUAGGAGCGUAAAGCCUCGGACCCGAAAGAUGGUGAACUAUGCCUGUAUAGGGUGAAGCCAGAGGAAACUCUGGUGGAGGCUCGCAGCGGUUCUGACGUGCAAAUCGAUCGUCAAAUAUGGGCAUGGGGGCGAAAGACUAAUCGAACCAUCUAGUAGCUG